GGCAGCCAGUGGGAGAAUGACAGAGGAGACGUAACCAAGGGGGAAGACUAAGGCACUCAACCCCAAAUACACCCCUCCCUCCAGGAGUUACCAUGGUGACAGAAAAAGCCAGUGUGAUCACUGAGCUUAAGGAUGUGCCAAAGCCGGCUAUCACAUCAGACAGGUGGAUCAGCCUUAGUCAAGACCACUAUCUCACCGUUACAGUGGUCUGCCCCGAAGGGACUUUGUUUAGUUGCUUUCCUGCAUUGUUUUGAAAUAGUUUUCCUUGUGUGUCCAUUGUGAUUGUCUGCCUCGCCCUAAUGUGUUACAACUGUGUCUUGUUAUGUGCUCUCUUUGUGUGAGUUUGUCCUGUUGUCUUCGUCAAUUUCUCUGUUUUUUGCUCCUGCUUUGCUCCCGUCAAGUUUUGUAGUGUUCCUGUGUUUUUGCUUGGUUUUUUUGUAUUUUGAGAUUUUUUGCUUCCCCUUACUGGACCUACCUCAUCCCUUCAUGUAAGACUGUGUUUUUUAUUUCCUUUGUUCAUUCAACCGAACCAACCCUGUCCGAGAGUCUGCAUGAGGGUCCUGAGUACCUUAAAUCUGACAAUGGGCAGCCUGAAUUAGAGCAGUGGUCGUGUGGUUCAACAGGUCGUCGAAGACCGAAAAAAGUCUUGAAGGAAAAAGCAUGAACUCCUUGGCCCUCUGCAACAGUCACUCCUUCAGGAUUAAGACGAGAUGGAACUGAACCUAUUAUAGAGAGAUUAGCGGAGCAGUAUCCAGCUAUCUAGGGAGCAGCCUUAGAUACACCACUGGGAAAUGCAAUGACCAAGGUCAACCUGAACACUCGAACGAUGACCACUCAAAUAAGGCUGAAGAGUUUGUCUUGUUCAUGACAAUCCUCUGUGUAUCCACACUGUGUGUUUGUCAUCUGAAAAGAAUGCCACCCGUGGACAGAUCAUACCCAUCCUCAAAAAGUUAGAAGAGCACUUCACUGUGAAGCCUGAAGAUACAACGUAGGUCACAACCAUCAAAGUGAAGGUGUGGAGGGACCUCUCCGACCGCUAUCAGGAUAAGGGCAUUCAAGCGUUCCUGAAUGGAAGGUGACAGCAAUGGACCCCAGAUUUAAAGUGAGACCAGUGAGUGACGCCACCUGUGACAGGCUGAGGAAGACAACUGUGGAGACCAGUGUUACAGGAGCAACACCACGGCUGUCGGAGGAGCCGGACCAGACAAACGCAGAGCAGAAUCAACAGGAGGAGGUGGAGUCUGAAGGAGUAGGAGAGGGUAUUUUCAACUGCAGGGAACCCAAAAGCCAGGAGAGGUCUUUCUCCAGAGGAAUGGCUAUUAAAUACUAGGCCUUUUGCAGCCUACAUGUGUGCCCCACCUAUGUUGCUCUAUACCACUGUAUUUUCUUUUGCAGUAAAUAAUUGUUCAUGAUUUGUUUUACAUUUUCAUAAUCAUUUAGAGAUGUGCUUUAAAAUGAAAAUGUAGC